UACGUAGGGGGCAAGCGUUGUCCGGAUUUAUUGGGCGUAAAGAGCGUGUAGGCGGUCAGGUAGGUCCGUUGUGAAAACUCGAGGCUCAACCUCGAGACGCCGAUGGAAACCAUCUGACUAGAGUCCGGAAGAGGAGAGUGGAAUUCCUGGUGUAGCGGUGAAAUGCGCAGAUAUCGGGAAGAACACCUAUGGCGAAGGCAGCUCUCCGGGACGGUACUGACGCUGAGACGCGAAAGCGUGGGGAGCGAACAGG
rnacentral:rRNA from 1 species